rnacentral:rRNA from 1 species
GACGAACCGAGCGAACGUUGUUCGGAAUCACUGGGCUUAAAGGGCGCGUAGGCGGGUGCUCAAGUCCGUGGUGAAAUCCUCCGGCUCAACCGGAGAACUGCCUCGGAUACUGGGCGUCUCGAGUGUGGUAGGGGUAUGCGGAACUAUCGGUGGAGCGGUGAAAUGCGUUGAUAUCGGAAGGAACGCCGGCGGCGAAAGCGGCUUGCUGGACCCCAUCUGACGCUGAUGCGCGAAAGCGUGGGGAGCAAACAGG